rnacentral:rRNA from 1 species
CGUAGGGUGCGAGCGUUAAUCGGAAUUACUGGGCGUAAAGCGUGCGCAGGCGGUUCGCCAAGUCAGGUGUGAAAUCCCCGGGCUUAACCUGGGAAUUGCGCUUGAAACUAGCGGGCUUGAGUGUGGCAGAGGGGGUGGAAUUCCACGUGUAGCAGUGAAUGCGUAGAGAUGUGGAGGAACACCGAUGGCGAAGGCAGCCCCCUGGGUCAACACUGACGCUCAUGCACGAAAGCGUGGGGAGCAAACAGGAUUAGAUACCCUGGUAGUCCACGCCCUAAACGAUGUCGACUAGGUGUUGGGGAAGGAGACUUCCUUAGUACCGCAGCUAACGCGUGAAGUCGACCGCCUGGGGAGUACGGUCGCAAGAUUA